GGGCCCGUGGCGUAGCCAGGAAGCGUGGCGGCCUCCGGAGCCGCAGAGCCCGUGCGGGCGUAGCGGAAGCCCCGGGUUCAAAUCCCGGCGGGCCCG
rnacentral:tRNA from 1 species